rnacentral:rRNA from 1 species
ACGAACGCUGGCGGCGUGCUUAACACAUGCCAGUCGCACGGAAAGGCCCUGCUUUUGUGGGGUGCUCGAGUGGCGAACGGGUGAGUAACACGUGAGUAACCUGCCCUUGACUUUGGGAUAACUUCAGGAAACUGGGGCUAAUACCGGAUAGGAGCUCCUGCUGCAUGGUGGGGGUUGGAAAGUUUCGGCGGUUGGGGAUGGACUCGCGGCUUAUCAGCUUGUUGGUGGGGUAGUGGCUUACCAAGGCUUUGACGGGUAGCCGGCCUGAGGGGGUGACCGGCCACAUUGGGACUGAGAUACGGCCCAGACUCCUACGGGAGGCAGCAGUGGGGAAUAUUGCACAAUGGGCGGAAGCCUGAUGCAGCAACGCCGCGUGCGGGAUGACGGCCUUCGGGUUGUAAACCGCUUUCGCCUGUGACGAAGCGUGAGUGACGGUAAUGGGUAAAGAAGCACCGGCUAACUACGUG